GAGUUUGAUCCUGGCUCAGAAUCAACGCUGGCGGCGCGCCUAACACAUGCAAGUCGAACGAGAAAGCGGGGGCAACCUCGUGAGUAAAGUGGCGUACGGGUGAGUAACACGUGGAUCAUCUACCUCUUUGUGGGGGAUAACCCUGGGAAACCGGGGCUAAUACCGCAUAAGUCCGAGAGGAGAAAGCAGCAAUGCGCAGAGAGAGGAGUCCGCGGCCGAUUAGCUAGUUGGUAGGGUAAGAGCCUACCAAGGCAACGAUCGGUAGCCGGCCUGAGAGGGCACACGGCCACACUGGCACUGAAACACGGGCCAGACUCCUACGGGAGGCAGCAGUGGGGAAUCUUGCACAAUGGGGGAAACCCUGAUGCAGCGACGCCGCGUGAGCGAUGAAGCCCUUCGGGGUGUAAAGCUCUUUCGGCAGGGAAGAUGAUGACGGUACCUGCAGAAGCAGCUGCGGCUAACUACGUGCCAGCAGCCGCGGUAAUACGUAGGCAGCAAGCGUUGUUCGGAGUUACUGGGCGUAAAGGGUGUGUAGGCGGUUCUCUAAGUUUGGUGUGAAAUCUCCCGGCUCAACUGGGAGGGUGCGCCGAAAACUGGGGGGCUAGAGUGCGGGAUGGGAAAGUGGAAUUCCUGGUGUAGCGGUGAAAUGCGUAGAUAUCAGGAGGAACACCUGUGGUGUAGACGGCUUUCUGGACCGCAACUGACGCUGAGACACGAAAGCGUGGGUAGCAAACAGGAUUAGAUACCCUGGUAGUCCACGCCCUAAACGAUGCAUAUUUGGUGUGGGUCAUUCAUUUGAUCCGUGCCGGAGCUAACGCGUUAAAUAUGCCGCCUGGGGAGUACGGUCGCAAGGCUGAAACUCAAAGGAAUUGACGGGGGCCCGCACAAGCGGUGGAGCAUGUGGUUCAAUUCGACGCAACGCGAAGAACCUUACCUGGGCUCGAACGGCUCACGAACGUCUGUGGAAACACGGAUUUCCCGCAAGGGACGGGAGUCGAGGUGCUG
rnacentral:rRNA from 1 species